rnacentral:rRNA from 1 species
UACAGAGGUCUCAAGCGUUGUUCGGAUUCAUUGGGCGUAAAGGGUGCGUAGGUGGCGUCGUAAGUCGGGUGUGAAAUUUCGGAGCUUAACUCCGAAACUGCAUUCGAUACUGCCGUGCUUGAGGACUGGAGAGGAGACUGGAAUUUACGGUGUAGCAGGUGAAAUGCGUAGAGUAUCGUAAGGAAGACCAGUGGCGAAGGCGGGUCUCUGGGCCUUACCUGACGCUGAGGAGCGAAAGCGUGGGGAGCGAACAGG